AUGCAAGUCGAACGAUGAAGCCCAGCUUGCUGGGUGGAUUAGUGGCGAACGGGUGAGUAACACGUGAGUAACCUGCCCUUAACUCUGGGAUAAGCCUGGGAAACUGGGUCUAAUACCGGAUAGGAGCGCCGACCGCAUGGUGGGUGUUGGAAAGAUUUAUCGGUUUUGGAUGGACUCGCGGCCUAUCAGCUUGUUGGUGAGGUAAUGGCUCACCAAGGCGACGACGGGUAGCCGGCCUGAGAGGGUGACCGGCCACACUGGGACUGAGACACGGCCCAGACUCCUACGGGAGGCAGCAGUGGGGAAUAUUGCACAAUGGGCGCAAGCCUGAUGCAGCGACGCCGCGUGAGGGAUGACGGCCUUCGGGUUGUAAACCUCUUUCAGUAGGGAAGAAGCGAAAGUGACGGUACCUGCAGAAGAAGCACCGGCUAACUACGUGCCAGCAGCGGCGGUAAUAAA
rnacentral:rRNA from 1 species